AGACCCUGCGCGGGAGAGCUCUCCGUCGGAUCGGCGGAGGCGCCGAAGGAGCAAAUCCUCCCCGGAAUCUCUCAGGCACACGUACCGCGCGGGCGAG
rnacentral:ncRNA from 2 species